rnacentral:rRNA from 1 species
AUUGAACGCUGGCGGAAUGCUUUACACAUGCAAGUCGAACGGCAGCACGGACUUCGGUCUGGUGGCGAGUGGCGAACGGGUGAGUAAUACAUCGGAACGUGCCCAGUCGUGGGGGAUAACGUAGCGAAAGCUACGCUAAUACCGCAUACGAUCUAAGGAUGAAAGCGGGGGAUCGCAAGACCUCGCGCGAUUGGAGCGGCCGAUGGCAGAUUAGGUAGUUGGUGGGGUAAAGGCUCACCAAGCCGACGAUCUGUAGCUGGUCUGAGAGGACGCCCAGCCACGCGGGGACUGAGACACGACCCAGACUCCGCCGGGAGGCAGCAGUGGGGAAUUUUGGACAAGGGGCGCAGGCGUGAUCCAGCCAUUCCGCGUGCAGGAUGAAGGCCUUCGGGUUGUAAACUGCUUUUGUACGGGACGAAAAGGCUCUGGUUAAUGCCCGGGGCUCAUGACGGUACCGUAAGAAUAAGCACCGGCUAACUACGUGCCAGCCGCCGCAGUAA